GCAUCGGUGGUGUCUGGGACACGCCGCCAUCACGCAGGGAAAAAAUGAAAUAAAGCAGGGGGUACGGGGUUCGACUCCCCGCCGGUGCA